GGACGGCCUAGGUAUGUUGGGAAGCUUGAUUUGGCGGCGGCGAGUUCCGGUGUGGGUAGGAUUCGACAUGCAUGGAUUGAAAUACCGGUGUUUUGGUUCGGGUCUUUUCGGUUUUGGGCUGUGAUGGUGUUUUUUUGUUGGGACAUGGGUUUCCGGGCGUAAAGGCUACAGUUUUGGAGUACUACGGCGGCGUUGCCGAAAAUGAAAUCAACUGUUCCGUAAACGUCGCAUUCGCGGUAGAAUUGACGGUUGGAGUGGACGUAUAAAGUGUCUUGGUAACCGAUGAUGUUGCACCUGUAUACGACGGCGUGGUCAGCUCCGACUCGAAGAGCCACUGCUUGGUGCUUGGCGGGUCCGGCAUAGUUCUCGAAUGUCAUGUCCCUUGCAAUAAAACCAGCCCCAGUUGCCGCUGAAAGUGAAAACAAACCAAUGAAUGAUACAGCUUUCUUUGAAAAUGAAGCAAAUUAGAACGUGAUUAGCUACGAAAUUUGUGGGAAUUUUUUUUUCGCUUUGAUAAUAAUAAUUAUAACAUGACAAGUAAUUAUGAUACGAAUAAGAACAAAUUAAAUAUUGCAUAAUAUAUGACCACUUUAUAAACGAAAAAACUAAUUUAGACAAUCCCUACCUCAAUUUUUAUUAAAAAAAAAUAACACAAGGUUUGUAAUUUCCAAUUGUAUGGACAAGAAGUAUAUAAGAUAAAGUGGCUUAAGAAUCUAGGGCUUUGUCUGUCUAAUAACACCCCACGUGCGAUUUCUAACAUCAUGCACCAUGGACAAGCUUAAUAGUUUACUAUUUUAUUUGAUAAUUUAAUUAUUUUAAUUAUAUUAUAAUGUAUAUUUAGUGGAGGAAAUAAAAUAAGAAGGGUGAAACUGACCAAAGGCAGCAGUGUGGAAAGUAGUCAUGUGCUCGGCUACACUUUUUCCUCCUGUAAUCACUGUUUUACCUUUUCCGUCACCUAUAAACAUCAAGUUUAUUUUCUUCCUCCCCACCUUCAAAUUAUCCUCUUCG
rnacentral:lncRNA from 1 species